rnacentral:tRNA from 1 species
UUUCGAUAGCUAAAAUUUUAUAGCGUGGUCUUGAAGCGGCUAAGGUGAAUAGUUUUCUCGGGAAAA